rnacentral:lncRNA from 1 species
UUGUCUUAAAUAAAACUCAACUCAAGACUGAAGAGGCUCUGCCCACCUGGUAGGACCAGCCGCUGAACGAGAGGCGGUCAAAUGAGAGACAGCCAUGAAGGGAGAGACAUCCAAUGGGAAAGCUCUGAGAAAGUGAGAGAUUUGUGGGUGGAGCCGGAAGCCAUAUUUACCUCGACGUAGCACUGUUAAAGAAAAGAGAACCAGGUCUGAACAAUCAGAAGUAGGGUGCUGUGUAUUUUACUGCAACGUCAAUGACAUCAUGUACUGUAGCAUUUGCAUGAGGCUGAGAUUGCUGUGAGACCAUGGCCACAGAUGUCAUUACCUAGGCAUUUAACCAAUCACAAWACUUACUAUCGUUGUCAUGAGCUUCGUACUGUGUAUAUAUAGUAGGUAUACGUCUCCAAUUGUACGUAGGGAGUAUAUUGUAUGUUAUAAUUGUACUAAUCAGGACAGCAGGGGCAUGUUAUAAUGAUACAGUAUUCAGGAGGAUUCUGAGAGCCUUGGUCAGUCUGUACUGAAGCCUUGGUCAGUCUGUACUGAAGAGGCAGAUCUUAAGCCUUGGUCAGUCUGUACUGAAGAGGCAGAUCUUAAGCCUUGGUCAGUCUGUACUGAGAGCAGAUCUUAAGCCUUGGUCAGUCUGUACUGAAGAGGCAGAUCUUAAGCCUUGGUCAGUCUGUACUGAAGAGGCAGAUCUUAAGCCUUGGUCAGUCUGUACUGUAGAGGCAGAUCUUAAGCCUUGGUCAGUCUGUACUGAAGAGGCAGAUCUUAAGCCUUGGUCAGAUCCUCUUCAGAAGAACAGUAAAGCUAUGUACUGUACAGUAGUAGCAUUAAGCCAAGAUGGCUGCCUGUGGAAAUAGCAGCCAAGCUGAUAGACCGGGAACCCUCACCUUCUGGUAGAACUGAACAGCUGUUGUCCCAAAUGACACCCUAUUCCCCAUGUAGUGCACCACUUGUGACAAGAGUCCUAUGYGCCCUGGUUAAAAGUAGUGCACUAUAUAGGGGAUAGUGUGCCAUUUGGACAGCCAGGCCCGUGCGCUCUAUUAGCUUUUGAUGGCACUGUACUGUAGUAGAAGAGGGCCGUUCAGAAUCUGGACAUUGUGGGCAAGGUCAGCUUUGCUUUAGUUUAGAUUGACAUUUCCACGGUUUAACUCAGGAACCUCUAACAUAAUGUUUUCAGAGAAAUCCUCCCUCAUAUCCACUGUAGAACACAGAUGAGACCAAUGAGUCUAUGCUGCACACUGACUGUUACACUGUCCCCCUCCUCACUCAGAUGUGCUUACUGUACAUGUUGAUGACUUGUGCCAUCAGUCCUCCAGGUAAAGAGGAGGACCUCAGUGAACUACUGUCUGCAGGGAGAUAUGACACGUGAAGGCAGGCAAACUGUUAUUAUUACUGCUACAUGUUCUUAAAUCAUUUCCUCAUUGCAGAUCAGGAAGCUUUUUUAGCUGCUAAUUGGUAGGAAGUGAAUUCCGA